AAUGGACGAAAGUCUGACGCAGCCAUGCCGCGUGAAGGAUGAAUGCCUACGGGUUGUAAACUUCUUUUAUAUACCAAGAACCCUCGGACGUGUCCGAGGCUGACGGUAGUAUAUGAAUAAGGACCGGCUAACUCCGUGCCAGCAGCCGCGGUAAUACGGAGGGUCCAAGCGUUAUCCGGAUUUAUUGGGUUUAAAGGGUUCGUAGGCGGAAUAUUAAGUCAGUGGUGAAAGCCCACAGCUCAACUGUGGAACUGCCAUUGAUACUGAUAUUCUUGAGUGUAAUAGAAGUUAGCGGAAUGUGUCAUGUAGCGGUGAAAUGCUUAGAUAUGACCCAGAACACCGAUUGCGAAAGCAGCUAGCUAUGUUAAUACUGACGCUGAGGAACGAAAGCGUGGGGAGCGAACAGGAUU
rnacentral:rRNA from 1 species